AACGUAGGAGACAAACGUUAUCCGGAGUUACUGGGCGUAAAGGGCGUGUAGGUGGUUACGUAAGUCUGGCGUGAAAUUUCUCGGCUUAACCGAGGCAGGUCGUCGGAUACUGCGAGACUAGAGGACGGUAGAGGCGUGUGGAAUUCCGGGUGUAGUGGUGAAAUGCGUAGAGAUCCGGAGGAACACCAGUGGCGAAGGCGACACGCUGGGCCGUACCUGACGCUGAGGAGCGAAAGCGUGGGGAGCGAACAGG
rnacentral:rRNA from 1 species